UAUCUAACUGGUGGCUUGCGUAUUCUU
rnacentral:sRNA from 1 species